AAAUUCUAAAUAGAAUACAGUCAUGAGAAUAGAUAAAGUUCAUAUUAGUUACUAAUAUAGGGGAAUACCAAAAUGUUUGAAUGAUUCAUAUGGUGCAACGAGUAAAGCUUCAUACAUAUGUGGUUAAAACCUCAAUGUAGCUAACUAUUUGAAAUGUUUUCAUAUAUGUAACUAGAAUCAUAUAUAUUUAUAUCAUAAAAAUAAACAUGCAAGCAUACAUAAGCUUCAAAUUGUGUUCUAUUGUUCAAGAAAUACGUUUAUGUUCUUUAUUCUAAUAAAUGAUACAGGCUUUGUCUUUGCUAUUCUGCUAUAAACUCAUACUGUCUGCAAUACAAUGAAUAAAAUUAAUAUUAUUUGAUGCUUUACAUGUUUAAAUAUGCAUCAAAAUAACAUCAUUAUGGUUAUUUGUAUUUCAAAAUAAAAACAGUUGUUUUAGAUCUUAUGUGUAGCCUUUGCUUUUUUAAUGCAAAUGGUUCAUCCUUCAUGUAUUCCGAGUUCAAUAAUAGUUUAUGUGUGCAUGUUUUGCUUAAACAUUUGGAGUAUUUUUAGUCCUGAAAAUUAUUUUUAGUGUUUUUUUAGUUUUUAAGUGCCAGACUGCCUAGGGAUUAGGCUGUGAUGAAAACAUGACAUAAAAACCUACUCAAGUUGACAUUGUAUAUUGGUGC
rnacentral:lncRNA from 1 species